UAAGCGACUAAGCGUACACGGUGGAUGCCCUGGCAGUCAGAGGCGAUGAAGGACGUGCUAAUCUGCGAUAAGCGUCGGUAAGGUGAUAUGAACCGUUAUAACCGGCGAUUUCCGAAUGGGGAAACCCAGUGUGUUUCGACACACUAUCAUUAACUGAAUCCAUAGGUUAAUGAGGCGAACCGGGGGAACUGAAACAUCUAAGUACCCCGAGGAAAAGAAAUCAACCGAGAUUCCCCCAGUAGCGGCGAGCGAACGGGGAGCAGCCCAGAGCCUGAAUCAGUGUGUGUGUUAGUGGAAGCGUCUGGAAAGGCGCGCGAUACAGGGUGACAGCCCCGUACACAAAAAUGCACAUGCUGUGAGCUCGAUGAGUAGGGCGGGACACGUGGUAUCCUGUCUGAAUAUGGGGGGACCAUCCUCCAAGGCUAAAUACUCCUGACUGACCGAUAGUGAACCAGUACCGUGAGGGAAAGGCGAAAAGAACCCCGGCGAGGGGAGUGAAAAAGAACCUGAAACCGUGUACGUACAAGCAGUGGGAGCACGCUUAGGCGUGUGACUGCGUACCUUUUGUAUAAUGGGUCAGCGACUUAUAUUCUGUAGCAAGGUUAACCGAAUAGGGGAGCCGAAGGGAAACCGAGUCUUAACUGGGCGUUAAGUUGCAGGGUAUAGACCCGAAACCCGGUGAUCUAGCCAUGGGCAGGUUGAAGGUUGGGUAACACUAACUGGAGGACCGAACCGACUAAUGUUGAAAAAUUAGCGGAUGACUUGUGGCUGGGGGUGAAAGGCCAAUCAAACCGGGAGAUAGCUGGUUCUCCCCGAAAGCUAUUUAGGUAGCGCCUCGUGAAUUCAUCUCCGGGGGUAGAGCACUGUUUCGGCAAGGGGGUCAUCCCGACUUACCAACCCGAUGCAAACUGCGAAUACCGGAGAAUGUUAUCACGGGAGACACACGGCGGGUGCUAACGUCCGUCGUGAAGAGGGAAACAACCCAGACCGCCAGCUAAGGUCCCAAAGUCAUGGUUAAGUGGGAAACGAUGUGGGAAGGCCCAGACAGCCAGGAUGUUGGCUUAGAAGCAGCCAUCAUUUAAAGAAAGCGUAAUAGCUCACUGGUCGAGUCGGCCUGCGCGGAAGAUGUAACGGGGCUAAACCAUGCACCGAAGCUGCGGCAGCGACGCUGAUGCGUUGUUGGGUAGGGGAGCGUUCUGUAAGCCUGUGAAGGUGUGCUGUGAGGCAUGCUGGAGGUAUCAGAAGUGCGAAUGCUGACAUAAGUAACGAUAAAGCGGGUGAAAAGCCCGCUCGCCGGAAGACCAAGGGUUCCUGUCCAACGUUAAUCGGGGCAGGGUGAGUCGACCCCUAAGGCGAGGCCGAAAGGCGUAGUCGAUGGGAAACAGGUUAAUAUUCCUGUACUUGGUGUUACUGCGAAGGGGGGACGGAGAAGGCUAUGUUGGCCGGGCGACGGUUGUCCCGGUUUAAGCGUGUAGGCUGGUUUUCCAGGCAAAUCCGGAAAAUCAAGGCUGAGGCGUGAUGACGAGGCACUACGGUGCUGAAGCAACAAAUGCCCUGCUUCCAGGAAAAGCCUCUAAGCAUCAGGUAACAUCAAAUCGUACCCCAAACCGACACAGGUGGUCAGGUAGAGAAUACCAAGGCGCUUGAGAGAACUCGGGUGAAGGAACUAGGCAAAAUGGUGCCGUAACUUCGGGAGAAGGCACGCUGAUAUGUAGGUGAAGUCCCUCGCGGAUGGAGCUGAAAUCAGUCGAAGAUACCAGCUGGCUGCAACUGUUUAUUAAAAACACAGCACUGUGCAAACACGAAAGUGGACGUAUACGGUGUGACGCCUGCCCGGUGCCGGAAGGUUAAUUGAUGGGGUUAGCGCAAGCGAAGCUCUUGAUCGAAGCCCCGGUAAACGGCGGCCGUAACUAUAACGGUCCUAAGGUAGCGAAAUUCCUUGUCGGGUAAGUUCCGACCUGCACGAAUGGCGUAAUGAUGGCCAGGCUGUCUCCACCCGAGACUCAGUGAAAUUGAACUCGCUGUGAAGAUGCAGUGUACCCGCGGCAAGACGGAAAGACCCCGUGAACCUUUACUAUAGCUUGACACUGAACAUUGAGCCUUGAUGUGUAGGAUAGGUGGGAGGCUUUGAAGUGUGGACGCCAGUCUGCAUGGAGCCGACCUUGAAAUACCACCCUUUAAUGUUUGAUGUUCUAACGUUGACCCGUAAUCCGGGUUGCGGACAGUGUCUGGUGGGUAGUUUGACUGGGGCGGUCUCCUCCUAAAGAGUAACGGAGGAGCACGAAGGUUGGCUAAUCCUGGUCGGACAUCAGGAGGUUAGUGCAAUGGCAUAAGCCAGCUUGACUGCGAGCGUGACGGCGCGAGCAGGUGCGAAAGCAGGUCAUAGUGAUCCGGUGGUUCUGAAUGGAAGGGCCAUCGCUCAACGGAUAAAAGGUACUCCGGGGAUAACAGGCUGAUACCGCCCAAGAGUUCAUAUCGACGGCGGUGUUUGGCACCUCGAUGUCGGCUCAUCACAUCCUGGGGCUGAAGUAGGUCCCAAGGGUAUGGCUGUUCGCCAUUUAAAGUGGUACGCGAGCUGGGUUUAGAACGUCGUGAGACAGUUCGGUCCCUAUCUGCCGUGGGCGCUGGAGAACUGAGGGGGGCUGCUCCUAGUACGAGAGGACCGGAGUGGACGCAUCACUGGUGUUCGGGUUGUCAUGCCAAUGGCACUGCCCGGUAGCUAAAUGCGGAAGAGAUAAGUGCUGAAAGCAUCUAAGCACGAAACUUGCCCCGAGAUGAGUUCUCCCUGACCCUUUAAGGGUCCUGAAGGAACGUUGAAGACGACGACGUUGAUAGGCCGGGUGUGUAAGCGCAGCGAUGCGUUGAGCUAACCGGUACUAAUGAACCGUGAGGCUUAACCU
rnacentral:rRNA from 1 species